CCUCACUAACCUCGACACGAAUGUCCACGUACCGGCAAGCCCGCUUCGCCUUCGGAUACGAGGACGCAAGGUCGAACACAGCCUCUCGGACUUGCGAAAUGACGUCAAUCGUGACCUUAUCGGGCAUGCGGGACCUCCGUCUGGGAUGGCGGACGCUACGGGGAUUGUAAGGUGUUGCGCGAAGAGGCGGAAGUGUCAGGCCGUGACGCUGUCGCGCCAUUCAUCGACCCUCAUGGGAUCCAGGCGUUCGAUGCCUUCGAUGUGGUCGAAGUCCCGGUCAGUCGAUACAAUCCGCGUAAUUCGGAGACGAUUCAUCACCGCGACGUGAAGUAAGUCUCGAGCUUUUGCCG
rnacentral:misc_RNA from 1 species